CCUACGGGCGGCAGCAGUGGGGAAUAUUGGACAAUGGGCGAAAGCCUGAUCCAGCCAUGCCGCGUGUGUGAAGAAGGCCUUCGGGUUGUAAAGCACUUUCAGUGGGGAAGAAAGCCUUGGGGCUAAUACCCUCGAGGAAGGACAUCACCCACAGAAGAAGCACCGGCUAACUCCGUGCCAGCAGCCGCGGUAAUACGGAGGGUGCGAGCGUUAAUCGGAAUUACUGGGCGUAAAGCGCGCGUAGGCGGUCUGAUAAGCCGGUUGUGAAAGCCCCGGGCUCAACCUGGGAACGGCAUCCGGAACUGUCAGGCUAGAGUGCAGGAGAGGAAGGUAGAAUUCCAGGUGUAGCGGUGAAAUGCGUAGAGAUCGGGAGGAAUACCAGUGGCGAAGGCGGCCUUCUGGACUGACACUGACGCUGAGGUGCGAAAGCGUGGGUAGCAAACAGGAUUAGAUACCCGGGUAGUC
rnacentral:rRNA from 1 species